rnacentral:tRNA from 1 species
CCCGGUCGCGGCGUGCGGCGCGGUACAGGGCCCGCGACGCCCCGGGAAUGGCGAACUGUGCCCGCAGGUCCGGUCCGCGGGCCGGGGC